rnacentral:rRNA from 1 species
GAUGAACGCUGGCGGCGCGCCUAACACAUGCAAGUCGAACGGUUAAAGCACCUUUUAGGUGUGUAUAAAGUGGCGAACGGCUGAGUAACACGUGGGCAACCUGCCCUCCUCUUGGGGAUAGCCUCGGGAAACCGAGGAUAAUACCCGAUACUUCAAUGUGGCCGCAUGACGACAUUGAGAAAGCUUUUGCGGAGAAGGAUGGGCCCGCGGCCUGUUAGCUUGUUGGUGGGGUAGAGGCCUACCAAGGCAAUGAUGGGUAGCUGGGUUGAGAGACCGACCAGCCAGAUUGGGACUGAGACACGGCCCAGACGCCUACGGGAGGCAGCAGUGGGGAAUCUUGCACAAUGGGCGAAAGCCUGAUGCAGCGACGCCGCGUGCGGGACGAAGGCCUUCGGGUUGUAAACCGCUUUCAGCAGGGACGAGGCGAUAAGUGACGGUACCUGCAGAAGAAGCCCCGGCUAACUACGUG